AGAGUCUGAUCCUGGCUCAGGACGAACGCUGGCGGCGUGGAUUAGGCAUGCAAGUCGAACGAGAAAGCAAUCUUCGGAUUGUUAGUACAGUGGCGAACGGGUGAGGAACACGUAGGUAAUUUACCUUUAAGUUUGGGACAACCUGAGGAAACUCAGGCUAAUACCGGAUGUGAUCGCGAGAUUAAAGGGGGCCUCUAUUUAUAAGCUCUCGCUUAGAGAUAAGCCUGCGUCCUAUUAGUUAGAUGGUGUGGUAAUGGCGCACCAUGGCGAUGAUAGGUAGGCGGCCUAAACGGGUGGCCGCCCACACUGGGAUUGAGAUACGGCCCAGACUCCUACGGGAGGCAGCAGUCGAGAAUCGUCUACAAUGGGGGAAACCCUGAUAGUGCGACGCCGCGUGAACGAUGAAACCCUUCGGGGCGUAAAGUUCUUUUCUUUGUGAGCAGAUUAUUUAAUGAGAAUAUUGUUUAAUAAUAGAUAUUAGCAAAGGAAUAAGCCACGGCUAACUCCGUGCCAGCAGCCGCGGUAAUACGGGGGUGGCAAGCGUUGUCCGGAAUCACUAGGCGUAAAGGGCAGGUAGGCGGAUUAGUAAGUCAGAUGUUAAAGGCACAGGCUCAACCUGUGUACGGCAUUUGAUACUGUUAAUCUAGAGUUAGGUAUGGGAGGACGGAAUUUCUGGUGUAGCGGUGGAAUGCGCAGAUAUCAGAAAGAACACCAAAGGCGAAGGCAGUUCUCUUGGCCAUAACUGACGCUAAACUGCGAAGGUGUGGGUAUCAAACAGGAUUAGAUACCCUGGUAGUCCACACAGUAAACGAUAAACACUAGGUGUCGGGGAGAUAUAUCUUCGGUGCCGUAGCUAACGCGUUAAGUGUUUCGCCUGGGGAGUACGAUCGCAAGGUUGAAACUCAAAGGAAUUGACGGGGGCCCGCACAAGCGGUGGAGCAUGUGGUUUAAUUCGAUGCAACGCGAAGAACCUUACCUGGAUUUGACAUCCCGAGAAUCGGGUAGAGAUACCUGAGUGCCUGCUUGCAGGAAUUCGGAGACAGGUGCUGCAUGGCUGUCGUCAGCUCGUGUCGUGAGAUGUUGGGUUAAGUCCCGCAACGAGCGCAACCCCUAUCCUUAGUUACCAUCAUUUAGUUGGGGACUCUAAGGAGACUGCUUCGGUAAUAACGGAGAGGAAGGUGGGGACGACGUCAAGUCAUCAUGGUCCUUAUAUCCAGGGCUACACACGUGCUACAAUGGCCGAUACAAUGUGAAGCAAUAUAGCGAUAUGGAGCUAAUCACAAAAAGUCGGUCUAAGUUCGGAUUGGAGUCUGCAACUCGACUCCAUGAAGUCGGAAUCGCUAGUAAUCGCGUGUCAGCAUAACGCGGUGAAUACGUUCCCGGGCCUUGUACACACCGCCCGUCAAGUCAGCCGAGUUGAUUGCACCCGAAGAAGGUGAGCUAACCUGCAAAGGAAGCAGCUUUCGAAGGUGUGGUUAGCGAGGAGGACUAAGUCGUAACAAGGUA
rnacentral:rRNA from 1 species